AUGUGUGCCUUUCAAACUAAGGGUCAGGGUUUCUUUUACAUUCCUGAUUAUAGCAUGGAUAGGCAGAGUAGGGAAAAUAUUUUCAAUAUUGUUGUCACCAUUACUGAUGGCUCUGCUUAGACCAAAGAUAUUGAGCACGAGUUGAGUGUGUACGUUGGUCAGGGAUGGCGUUGCUCUGCUAGAUUCUUUGCUCCACAAAAGUUUGUCAUGAGGAUGCCGAACCCUAGAGAGGUUGACAGAGCUCUUUUUGUUGAA
rnacentral:rRNA from 1 species